CCUCGGGCGGCUGCAGUGGGGAAUAUUGGACAAUGGGCGAAAGCCUGAUCCAGCCAUGCCGCGUGUGUGAAGAAGGUCUUCGGAUUGUAAAGCACUUUAAGUUGGGAGGAAGGGCAGUAAGUUAAUACCUUGCUGUUUUGACGUUACCGACAGAAUAAGCACCGGCUAACUUCGUGCCAGCAGCCGCGGUAAUACGAAGGGUGCAAGCGUUAAUCGGAAUUACUGGGCGUAAAGCGCGCGUAGGUGGUUCAGCAAGUUGGAGGUGAAAUCCCCGGGCUCAACCUGGGAACUGCCUCCAAAACUACUGAGCUAGAGUACGGUAGAGGGUAGUGGAAUUUCCUGUGUAGCGGUGAAAUGCGUAGAUAUAGGAAGGAACACCAGUGGCGAAGGCGACUACCUGGACUGAUACUGACACUGAGGUGCGAAAGCGUGGGGAGCAAACA
rnacentral:rRNA from 1 species